GAUGAAGAACGUAGCGAAAUGCGAUAAGUAAUGUGAAUUUCAGAAUUCAGUGAAUCAUCGAAUCUUUGAACGCACAUUGCGCCCGCCAGUAUUCUGGCGGGCAUGCCUGUUCGAGCGUCAUUUCAACCCUCAGGGCCCUUUUGGACCUGGCGUUGGGGCUCGGCCGCUACCCUGCGGCCGUCCCCGAAAGAUAGUGGCGGUCUCGCUGUAGCCUCCUCUGCGUAGUAGUUACAUCUCGCACUGGAACGCGGCGCGGCCAUGCCGUUAAACACCCCACUUCUCAAGGUUGACCUCGGAUCAGGUAGGAAUACCCGCUGAACUUAAGCAUAUCAAUAAGCGGAGGA
rnacentral:misc_RNA from 1 species